rnacentral:rRNA from 1 species
AUGCAUUGCUUUAAUAAGUUGGAAGACACCGAGAAGUGGAAAUCUCGGCCUCAGAAAAAGCAGAAGACAUCCUCCUUGGAUACUCCUAAUUCGUCAUCUGCUAGUUUGUUUGAGGAUGAAGCUACAUCUCCCUCUAAAGUUGUUCCCAAGAAAAGGCCACCUGGAAUCAAGAGGGCUAAAGAUGCAGCAUGGCGGGCUCAAAGUUCUUCCGGUACAGGUAAUAGUAGUGCCAUGGAAUCAUUUGGGGGUAUCUUGGAGACAAGGGAGUCAAAAAGACAAGAGCGAUUUGAGCUCAUGAUUGCAAUGGACAAACAGAGAGAAGAAGAUAGGUUGGUAGAAGAAAGAAAGAAACUUGCAAUACAAGAAAAACAGAUGAAAUUAGAAGAAGAAAAGAUACGAAUCAUGAGAAUGGCGGAAGAACGCAUGAUGGGGGCUGAAGAAAGCAAAAUAAUGAGCAUGGAGCUUAGUGGCAUGGAUGAGCAAGAACAAGAAUUCUACAAAUUAAGGAAGAGCCAGAUCAUCAACCGCCAUCGUAACUCGUCGGCUUGA